AUUAAAACCCUACUUUAGACUAUUGAAUCAUUUUCUCUGCCGUGACAGAAGAUUAGAGAAAAGAAAGACCAUGCGUUUGC
rnacentral:sRNA from 1 species